rnacentral:RNase_P_RNA from 1 species
CUGUAUGGCUAAUUGCUACAUUAAGUAGAGGAAAAUCCGCUCUAACACUUUCUGCGAUGAAAGUAAAGUUCAUGCUAGAUCUAAUAAAUCUAGGCAACAAAAGUUGACGACUAGUGCAACAGAGACGAGCUUAUUAAGUUAAGAAUGCAACGAUGUAAACUCCAUGAGUUAGAAACCCAAAUUUAGGUAGGGGAACUAAGUUAAGAGAACUGAAUCAAGACUUGGAAGUAAUUACGAUUACUUAGAUAAAUAAUUAGCGCCAGCAAUGGUACAGAAAGCGGUUUAUAGUA